UGAAACAGUUUGGAAGUAGGUAGCA
rnacentral:piRNA from 1 species